rnacentral:rRNA from 1 species
CCAAUAGCGUAUAUUAAAGUUGUUGCAGUUAAAAAGCUCGUAGUUGAAUUUCGGGAUCAGUACGCUGGUCGUGCCUUUGGUAUGUACUGGUGUCACUGAUUCCUCCCUUCUGAAGAACCGUUAUGCCAUUUAUUUGGUGUGGCGGGAAAUCAGGACUGUUACUUUGAAAAAAUUAGAGUGUUUAAAGCAGGCUCGCGCUUGAAUACAUUAGCAUGGAAUAAUGAAAUAGGACGUUUGAUCUUAUUUUGUUGGUUUCUAGGAUCGACGUAAUGAUUAAUAGGGUUAGUUGGGGGCAUUAGUAUUCAAUUGUCAGAGGGGAAAUUCUUGGAUUUAUUGAAGACUAACUACUGCGAAAGCAUUUGCCAAGGAUGUUUUCAUUAAUCAAGAACGAAAGUUAGGGGAUCGAAGACGAUCAGAUACCGUCGUAGUCUUAACCAUAAACUAUGCCGACUAGGGAUCGGAUGAUGUUAAUUUUUUAAUGACUCAUUCGGCGCCUUACG